rnacentral:rRNA from 1 species
CCUACGGGAGGCAGCAGUGGGGGAUAUUGCACAAUGGGGGGAACCCUGAUGCAGCGACGCCGCGUGGGUGAAGAAGCGCCUCGGCGCGUAAAGCCCUGUCAGCAGGGAAGAAAAUGACGGUACCUGAAGAAGAAGCCCCGGCUAACUACGUGCCAGCAGCCGCGGUAAUACGUAUGGUGCAAGCGUUAUCCGGAUUUACUGGGUGUAAAGGGAGCGCAGGCGGCGCGUUAAGCCUGGUGUGAAAGCCCGCGGCCCAACCGCGGGACUGCAUUGGGAACUGGCGCGCUGGAGUGCCGGAGGGGUAG